rnacentral:tRNA from 2 species
GGGGUUGUAGCUCAGUUGGUAGAGCACCUGCUUUGCAAGCAGGGGGUCGUCAGUUCGAGCCUGAUCAGCUCCACCA